rnacentral:lncRNA from 1 species
GCUCUCUCUAGGCUGCUGCCUUGUUGUGAGAAGAGGUGGUGCUCCCUCCUCUGCACACAGUGAUUGCUGGCCCAAAAUAGCCCUGCACCUGCUCUGAGAUGCCUGCAAGAUAAUUUCAGCUUCCAAGGAAACUGCCCUGAUUGGUGUUGAUUUUUCAUGACCUCCCUUCAGGCGAACACCUGGAGAUAAGCACCUGAUCGUGGAGGUGCACCCUGGCGAGCUGAAGGCACGGAAGUAUGCAGCCUGGUGCUCCUAUCUCCUCCCAGGAAGGAAAGGCUCUGGCUCUGGGGCCCUCUACCCCACAGAGUGAAACCAUUACUGGAUCCAUCCUUUUGGCAACAUUCCUGGGAUUUGUCUCUUCCUUCUUGCAUCCAGAAUACCUGCUUGUCAAGACUCUUCUAGAUCUUACCCUAUAUACCUCCUGCCAGAGGUAUAUCACUGGCUAUUCAUUGGUAUCUUAUAUAAUAAAUUGGUUUUCAUAAAUAC